GAAGUCUUAGUUUAAUUAAAAUAUCUGUGUUGCAGUCAGAAGAUGUAAUGUUUUUGCAGGCUUUA
rnacentral:tRNA from 1 species